rnacentral:misc_RNA from 1 species
GAAAUGCGAUAAGUAGUGUGAAUUGCAGAAUUCAGUGAAUCAUCGAAUCUUUGAACGCACAUUGCGCCCUUUGGUAUUCCAAAGGGCAUGCCUGUUCGAGCGUCAUUUGUACCCUCAAGCUUUGCUUGGUGUUGGGCGUCUUGUCUCUAGCUUUGCUGGAGACUCGCCUUAAAGUAAUUGGCAGCCGGCCUACUGGUUUCGGAGCGCAGCACAAGUCGCACUCUCUAUCAGCAAAGGUCUAGCAUCCACUAAGCCUUUUUUUCAACUUUUGACCUCGGAUCAGGUAGGGAUACCCGCUGAACUUCAGC